CUUGAACGCUGGCGGCAUGCCCUACACAUGCAAGUCGAACGGCAGCACGGGUGCUUGCACCUGGUGGCGAGUGGCGAACGGGUACGUAAUACAUCAGAACGUACCUUAUCGUGGGGGAUAACGCAGCGAAAGUUGCGCCAAUACCGCAUACGCCCUGAGGGGGAAAGCGGGGGACCGUAAAGCCUCGCGCGAUUAGAGCGGCCGAUGUCUGAUUAGCUUGUUGGUGAGGUAAAAGCUCACCAAGGCGGUGAUCAGUAGGUGGUCUGAGAGGACGACCGGCCACGCUGGGUAUGGGACACGACCCAGACUCCAAGGGGAGGCGGCAUGGGGGAAUUUUGGAAAAUGGGGGCAACCCUGAAGAAGCAAUGCCGAGUGAGUGAAGAAGGAGUUCGGGUUGUAAAGCUCUUUUGUCAGGGAAGAAACAGCAGCACUAACACAGUCUGCGAAUGACGGUACCUGAAGAAUAAGCACCGGCUAACUACGUGCCAGCAGCCGCCGUAA
rnacentral:rRNA from 1 species